CUUAAGUUUAUCUUUAACCUUUAUAUAGUGCUUAAGAUAAGUACUUUGUAUAAGAGCUUAUACAAAGGAAACUAAUAGAGA
rnacentral:ribozyme from 1 species